AGCGUGCGCGAGAGCAGGACAAGCAUCGCACUCUGAACAAAAGAGCCAAAAUGCCAGGAACGAAAGGUAACAAGUCGGACAAGAAGUCAACUACCAAGCAACCUCAGAGUCCUAAAGAGCAGCCGAAGAAAGGUGAUCAGAAAGGAGAUGACAACAAGAAGCAAGGAGGACAGCCGAAGGGAGAGAAGCAGUAACUUCCAGGCGUUUGUCAAGAUGGCUUUGGAGACACUGCUGGGCUCCUGCCGUCGCAAACAUGGAGGUCCUCGCGGCAGGCAGGGCUGAGCCCGGCCCAGGACCCCACCCCACCCGACGGGUGACAUCACCUUUCCUCAUCUCUGGCCAAGAAGGAAAUCUCCUUGCGUUCUGUCUGCCCACGCUGUUCAAGCCGACAUGCCGGUUGUCUAUAAAAACCCCAAACGAUUCAUAACACAGAGCUCAGAGCAAAAGCCCAGUUUGUCAUCCUUCCCCAAUUGAAGCCAAUUAUGGACUGUUUUCUCAUUGGCUGCCAUUGACGGCGAUAGACGUCCAUUCCAAAAUAAAGCCUCCCACUUCAAAUGCAUUGGACGUCUACUAGUAAUAAACUCAUUUCAAUUCAAAGCAGUAGGAAGAUUGGACAUCUAUCAUUGUCAAUGGCAGUGAAAGGGUUGGCGGUCGAAAUGUUUUUCUUGUAAAUAAUGAGUCAAAUAAACAACUAUUUCUUACAUGA